GGGAACAACUGUAGCUGAGUGGCAUGGUAUCUCCUCUGCAUGUAGAACAUCCCAGGUUCAAAUCCUGGCAUCUCCA